rnacentral:rRNA from 1 species
AACACAUGCAAGUCGAGGGCAUCAGGGAGAAAGCUUGCUUUCUUGCGUCGGCGACCGGCGCACGGGGUGAGUAACGCGUAUCCAACCUUCCCCCCAGUAGGGCAUAGCCCGGCGAAAGUCGGAUUAAUACCCUAUGUUUUCCAAUGAGGACAUCUGAGCUGGAACAAAGAUUUAUCGCUGGGGGGAUGGGGAUGCGUCCGAUUAGGUUGUUGGCGGGGUAACGGCCCACCAAGCCCGCGAUCGGUAGGGGUUCUGAGAGGAAGGUCCCCCCACACUGGUACUGAGACACGGACCAGACUCCUACGGGAGGCAGCAGUGAGGAAUAUUGGUCAAUGGGCGCGAGCCUGAACCAGCCAAGUAGCGUGCAGGACGACGGCCCUAUGGGUUGUAAACUGCUUUUAUGGCGGGGAUAAAGUGGCGUACGUGUACGUUUUUGUAGGUACCGCAUGAAUAAGGACCGGCUAAUUCCGUGCCAGCAGCGGC